UCAUCACCUUUUACCCGCAUCAACCUCAAGAGGACACAAGAGAAGGACACAUACCAGCCAACAACAACUGGGUGUGUCCAUUUAUUUUAAGGUACAGCUUGUUGCUGAGAGCUUUGUGUUGUCUUGCCUCUCUUAAAUCCUCUUAAAGGUUGAACAAACAACUGAUGAGCUAUGCUGUGAAUGAAGCGCAUGAGCUCAACCAAAAUGCUUUUAUAAAAUUUACCUCAAGGAAGGAUGAGGCUGAGGUGUUGACCCCAAUGAGCCCCAACAACCACUGAAAGAAGGAGAUGUAAUAGGCCUAAUCGCAGAGCUGGCAGUUCGGCAGAGCGGAGCAUGAAGGAUUUGCUGAGCAGGCUACUUACGUAAGAAGACCUCCAGGGGCAGACAUGGACCUCUCCGCCCGUCGGCCCUGACACUCAAAGGGAUUACUGAAAGACCUCUUCCUCAGCAUAGACUUCACCAGAAUCUGAAGUGGACAUCAGAGAGAGUCUGAAUGAAAAUACAAACCUUUUCCAUAUUGCCAUUAACACUAAAAUAUACACUUGUAUUUUUCUAUAUGAUAUGCCAUUAAAAAUUCCAUUAAUGUC